rnacentral:rRNA from 1 species
AUACGUAGGGAGCGAGCGUUGUCCGGAAUUACUGGGUGUAACGGGAGCGUAGGCGGGAUGGCAAGUCAGAUGUGAAAACUAUGGGCUCAACCCAUAGCCUGCAUUUGAAACUGUUGUUCUUGAGUGAAGUAGAGGAAAGCGGAAUUCAUGGUGUAGCGGUGAAAUGCGUAGAUAUCAGGAGGAACAUCGGUGGCGAAGGCGGCUUACUGGGCUUUUACUGACGCUGAGGCUCGAAAGCGUGGGGAGCAAACAGGAUUAGAUACCCUGGUAGUCCACGCUGUAAACGAUGAUUACUAGGUGUGGGGGGACUGACCCCUUCCGUGCCGCAGUUAACACAAUAAUUAAUCCACCUGGGGAGUACGGCCGCAAGGUUGAAACUCAAAUGAAUUGACGGGG